GAACUGCCAGCCUGCAUGGAUGCAGAGCAUUUGUGACACUUAACCCAUCCUUGAAAACCAUGUGAGCGGCUUUCCAUCCAUCACCUCUGUCAACAGGUCAUCGAAAUCCUUGAUGCAAGAGAAUUUAACACUUGCGGCUGUCCAAACUUUCCUCCCUCGAGAGGGAGGGAGAACUACGGUGUGGUGCGAGGGACAUCACGAGAAUGAGACACCUGCACACUGCAGUUAUGUGAAGAGCCAAUUCAAUAAUUGAAAGCAUGAAUCCUAAGUAGGUUAUUAUUGUCAUGUCAAGACCAAGGGUGUCUUUGUUGUUGGUGGGGUUUUGUUGUUGUUUCUUGAAAUUUAAGUGCUUCGUCAGUGAACUAUCAGAAUGAUUCCCGACUGAACCACGAACCGAUUCCGACUGUUUCGCUAAACCAUUUGACCUGUUCAUUGAAAUGAACUGACUCAAAUGUGUCAUUCAUUAGCGUGUCGGGAAUCGAAAACUACGGGCUACACUACAUGUUCCUCAGGGAAAAUAUUUAAGAUAAGUAUGCUGAGCUCCCUAGUUAGACAAGGAUUUAUCAGUGCAAUUUACUAAAGCACAGCCAAAUUUAACUGGAACUUCUGCGACACCCACCUAAUGAGUAGCCUAUUGUGUUUUAUAGCGAAAUAUUUAGACGUUUAUUUUCGCUAAAGCUGAAAUAAAUGCAGAACAUUCUUUAA